rnacentral:rRNA from 1 species
UGCAAGUCGCGUGCGCAGUCUGUAGCAAUACAGGCCGGCGCACGGCGCACGGGUGCGUAACACGUGGGCAAUCUGCCCUCUGAUGGGGAAUAACCCCGCGAAAGCGGGGCUAAUACCGCAUAACAUUUCGAGGACUUCGGUCCUUGAACUGAAAGCAGUAAUGCGUCGGAGGAGGAGCCCGCGCCCGAUUAGCUAGUUGGUGAGGUAACGGCUCACCAAGGCAAUGAUCGGUAGCUGGUCUGAGAGGAUGAUCAGCCACACUGGAACUGAGACACGGUCCAGACUCCUACGGGAGGCAGCAGUGGGGAAUCUUGCACAAUGGGCGAAAGCCUGAUGCAGCGACGCCGCGUGGGGGAUGAAGCUUUUCGGAGUGUAAACCCCUUUCGACUGGGACGAAAACCCGCAAGGGAUUGACGGUACCAGUAUAAGAAGCCCCGGCUAACUACGUGCCAGCAGCCGCGGUAAGACGUAGGGGGCCAGCGUUGUUCGGAAUUACUGGGUGUAAAGGGUUCGUAGGCGGUGUGGCAAGUCGGGAGUGAAAUCUCUGGGCUCAACCCAGAGGCUGCUUCCGAAACUGCCGUGCUUGAGUGUGAGAGAGGCUCGUGGAAUUGCAGGUGUAGCGGUGAAAUGCGUAGAUAUCUGCAGGAACACCCGUGGCGAAAGCGGCGAGCUGGAUCACUACUGACGCUGAGGAACGAAAGCUAGGGGAGCAAACAGGAUUAGAUACCCUGGUAGUCCUAGCCCUAAACGAUCAGGACUUGGGGUGCCGC